rnacentral:rRNA from 1 species
AACGAACGCUGGCGGCAUGCCUAACACAUGCAAGUCGAACGAGACCUCCCGGCUUUGUGGCGCACGGGUGCGUAACGCGUGGGAACCUGCCCUUAGGUUCGGAAUAACUCCCCGAAAGGGGUGCUAAUACCGGAUAAUGUCUUCGGACCAAAGAUUUAUCGCCUCUGGAUGGGCCCGCGUUGGAUUAGCUAGUUGGUAGGGUAAAAGCAUACCAAGGCGACGAUCCAUAGCUGGUCUGGGAGGAUGAUCCGCCACACUGGGACUGAGACACGGCCCAGAAUCCUACGGAAGGGAGGAGUGGGGAGUAUUGGACAAUGGGCGAAAGCGUAAUCCAGCAAUGCCGGGUGAGUGAUGAAGGCCUUAGGGUUGUAAAGCUCUUUUAGCCGGGAUGAUAAUGACGGUACCGGGAGAAUAAGCUCCGGCUAACUCCGUG